AGACAAAGGCUGUGUACAUACAUCUCAUUCUAGAAUCAGUGGAGACAGUACUCCCCUCCCUUAGUCUACAUGCAGUCUAGGUUUUUUGCAUAUUUUUGCCCCUGAAAAACACUUACUGAGAAACUGAUUUCUCUCCAAAAAUAAAAGCUCAUUGCAGAUCGAUUCUGCAUUCUGCACAGUGUUUCCAUUUGAAAAUAGAUGGAAACAACAGGUGUCUCCACAACUGUUCAUUAGUGUUGUUGGAGGGUCUAUACCAAGAUCACAGUUGCCACUUUCUUCUUUAUUCACCUUGAGCAUGUGCAGGGAGGGGUGGGUUGCCAAAUGCAUAUCAGGUAGUAACACCCACCCUUGUAGAUAACAGGACCUAGAAUCAAUCUUGAUUGAAAGCAGCAUGUUGAGGAUGAGCAUGAUCAAUUGUGGAUUGGAAAAAAAAAUUGUGCUACAGGUGUACACAGUCAAAAGUUGAAUGUGUAGGGGAGAGAAAAGAAUAUACAUAACUUGUUUCUGUCUGUUGCAACAGUUAUGCCAGUUUAGAGACACCCUGUGCACUGCUCUAAUUCAGGCAACCAAACAUGGCAUGUAUACAUGUGUUUAUUCAUGUGUGAGAUGGCUACAGAGAAACAUUCUUUCUGCUUCCACUAGUAACUGGACAUGGCUUUCUGGGAGUUCCCUGUUUGCCCAUUGGAUCUUUUAACAGGUUGCUUAAUACAGCCUUCCAAGAGGGACUUUUCAUCCCCCUUUUGUGGCAGAAGUUUCCAGAUAACAGUACCUACUUGCUUUGUUUGUUGAAGUGCGGAUGGAGUACGCAGGUAAUGGUUCUAAGUUCCAUGUUGAAAAUUGACAAAUUUUCCCCUCCCUGCUUUCAUUCCUUUUGUGUUGAGUGAGCUCAGCAGCUGUCUUUGCCCCCUUUAUCAGCUGCCCAGCAUCUGUAUAUAUAUUUGUGGUUUCUUUUAAUGGAUUCAAGUACAGUAUUUGCACAUUAGUUCCUCCCCCAUUCUUCUACCCAUGGUGAUUAACAUCGUCUUUCUUCAUCAACCAAGGCUGUUAACAGUCCCUCCUCCUCUUCAGCACAGCAUAGCAGCGACACCUGCCCAAGAAUAUUUGACUUUUGUUCUCACUGAAUGGGAAAUCUUACCACUUUGUCAUCAUAACCAUCCCCUGCCAUUCUCUUUUCUCUGGACUGUUGGAAACUGACCUUCCACAGACAGACCUUGACCAUUAUGGCAUUGACCAUAGUUAGGUGGCAAGUUAGGUGGUCAGGGAUGGGGCAGGAACCUUCCUUUGGAGCAUUUGCUAAUGGUGCCAUACUCAGGAGGGUGGAAUCAAUUUACAUUGAUUAAAUGGGGUGAUCUAGCUAUGUAAUCCGACUUCCUUAUCUUUCUUGACCGAUAUCAUCCUGGAGUUUAUAGGACUACCCAGAAAAUCAGUCUUAUUUGCUGGGGGAUGGUGGCAUGCAUUUUCCCCCUGUUUGCACAACAACAAAGACCACUUAAGGACCAAUAAUAAUAAUAAUAAUAAUUUUUUAUUUAUACCCUGCCCUCCCUGGCCAGAGCAGGGCACAGGGUGGCUAACACCAGUAAAAUUACAAUAAAAACAGAAUGGGGGGGGGGGGAGAAAAGAAAAAAACCAAUAUAAAAUGCAAUUUAAAAUGCAGCCUCAUUUUAAUAGUAGCCCAUAGAUCAAAACCAUAAGGGGAGGAAAACAUAAGGGCCAGACUGAGUCCAAACCAAAGGCCAGGCGGAACAACUCUGUCUUGCAGGCCUUGCGGAAAGAUGUCAAAUCCCGCAGGGCCCUAGUCUCUUGUGACAGAGCGUUCCACCAAGUCGGGGCCAGUACUGAAAAUGCCCCAGCCCUAGUUGAGACCAAUCUAACCACCUUGCGACUUGGGACCUCUUUGCUUCAGUCAGGAAAACAAUUACAGUCCUCUUUAUCUGGCAGCUUGUAAAUCAGACUGCCUGCUUCACUUGGCCUAAUUGCCUGGCAUGGACUUCAAAGUCUUCCUGCCAACGUGGCUGACAUACACUCCACAUACCUCUCUCAGCCCCGGAACGCUGCAGCAGCCAUCAGCAGCCUUACUCCGGUGUAAACGCCUCAGUUCUGGGCCCAUAACCUUGAUGUCGGCAUCCUUCUGGGGUCGAGAUGCCAGCUAGCUAGCCCCCAGCUGGAUCAUGCCCUCCCAGCCGUGACGAUCCCCCAGUCUCUGGCGCGAUGUAAAUCAGUGACUCAGACUUCAAAAGCCUGAGCAGGCUAUAUUAGCAGAGCAUAUUGCGCAAACAGAACAGGCGUGAGGCUUGUGGAAACAUACUAACAGCUAAAGAUUUAUUAAGCAUAAAUCAGGACAACAAAAACAUGUCGUCUCCCUUUCUUCUCCUCAGAGAGAAAGAGAAAAAACAAAAGCUAUACAUACAAUGGAAGUUCCCAGUAAGCUGUGCUGGUAUGUAAACAGACAUGUGACAUGCAGCAGUUCCAUGUCUGCAACUAAAGGUGGAAUGGAAUUUUCCAACACUUACAUCCUGGCUCAGUCGGCAGCAACCCGACUCACAGACUCCUGAAAGGCGUUUGGAAUAGGUUACUUAUGCAGGCCUAAACUAUUCUGGUUUCCUAUAGUUAGGAUUGCUCUUUUAAGGUCUUAUUUUAUUUGUUAGCCUAACAGACUUCUUCUUUAAUUACACACUUGUAAUAACCAUCUUCCUGGUCACAUGUGUUGGAAAAAGCAAUCUCCAGAAAACAGGCUAGCAUACUGGCUGACAUAUUAUGUAUGCAGAAGUGGGCUAAUAUUAUUUAUUUACAGGCUAGUAACUUUUGUGGGCUUUUUUUUUUUGAAAGGCUACUCUUUAUUGUUCUUUGUUUAACUCUGUUAAAUAUGGUUUGCCAUCAGUAAUACAGUUCAGAGGCAGGAGGGCUAUUUGUUUGUGUUUGGUGUACAAGGGUAGCCUAGCUACAAGGGUGAAGAGGAGAGGUCCUGACCACUGGGGCUGGACUUAAUUUUCAGUUUCUGGGAUUUGGACAACUGAGGUGCUCUGGUGAUGUUUUCACAUUAUUCCCUAUGGCUGAUUGAACUGAGCACUUUUCUCUUUUCAUGCCAGGAGGUAAAAGAUUAAAUACAUUUGUGUUUUAUUCUUGGGUGAGUUUUGAGAUUUGAAACACCCAAGAUGGGAAGGGAAUGUGUAGUCAUCCAGGCAUUGCUGGGCUACAUCUCCCACCAUCCCUUGCCAUUGCUAAGCAUGCAGGCCUAGGAUCGGCAAUUGGGUUAAUCCAUUCUUUUCAUCACUUGCAAUGUGAGUUGCAAAGGCUGCAGAUGGUCGAUGCCAGAAAGUCUGUGUGCAAUGUGUGUGUGAAGAUGAAAAAGCUGUUUCCUGUAUGAAGUUGAGACUGGUGUGUUUUCCAGGUUCAGGGUCCCCCAGAAUGGGCAUAAUUACUACAUCAUUUCAGGAAUUGAUAACUGUGUGAGUAGGCUGGAAUCAGUGUCAGUUUAUACUUCCAAGCAAUCAUUAAGGGCAACCCCCCGCACAGCUCCCUUUCAGUAUUCAGAAUAGUAAAAGUAAAGACAAUUAUGCCUCUGGUAUCAUGGAUCCUGCUUUGAAACCGUGCUGCCUCCUGGGGAAUUUCCUUGAUGGUCUUUCAAGGAGCCAGUCAAACUGGAAAGAUGCCAAGGCCAUACCAGGAAUAGAUAUUAUGCAAGCAAAUCCCUCUGGUAGCCUGCAUUCUGUAAACCCUUUUUCUUUUUUCCAACACAGAGAGAUAGAUGCUACUUUAAAAUUGCUUUGGCAUAGGCUCAGAUUCCCACAGGGAGGAAAAGGGCUGCUUAAAGACUCUGGGAAAGUACCAUGCAUACACGUUGCUAUCCCCCCAUAAAUGAAGAUGUCCAGGAGCAAUUAUUUCCAGAUUUGGUGACUGGCAACCCUUGGUGGUCUUAAAAGGUUGCCCCACCCUGUCUGAAAAUAGGAGGGUUUGUUUUGCAUCAAGGGAAGAACAAGUGGCUUCUAUAGAACAUUAGAGGGCAAGCUAUUUCCAUGAGGUCUGCCAGCAUUGCUUUGGUAGCAAAUUUGGGAAAUAUUUAUUAACUAGCCUGUCUCCAUGCCAUCUGGCAGCAAGUGGCUUAUUUCUGCAGAGAUUGUGUGUCAUCAUGGCUGCUCUGGCUUAGCUUUUUUAACGUUGAAGAGGGGAGGGGCUGAGCCACUUUAGGCUCAGUAGCUAAAAGCAGCCCUCCCAAGAGGGACUUGAGAGAUUCAGUAUUUAAACACCAAGGUUCAUAAGCAGCUAUUGUUAAAUUAAACAGCAAAAAGUAUUUGUUAGACAGCAUGGGAUUUAGAAUAACAUUUUGGGUUGUAAUUUGGUUGACCAGUUUUAGUCUUUCAGGACAGGCAGAGAACUGGACACUUGCUGCUUAUGGCUAUUUGACGAUUGCCUUCUUACCAGCCCCAAUUCAGGUUUU